AUCAGAGGAGACACCUUCAGCUCAUACAAUCAGCUCACACAAUUUAUUUCCUAGAGUUUGGCCAGUAACGCUUUCUACUCAAACAGCGUUUUGAAAGCGCUGUCACCUUUCCCGAGAUUGCCGUCCAGCCACCCACGCUAGUGGGACGCUGCGGAACGCAGUGAAACGCCCCCAGUGCACAAGGCUCCUACCUGUCCGUUGCCGCCGCCCGCUUUGCACCACCUGCUGCGAGGACUGGCUGGCCCACUGGCUCUCCCUCCUCCACCAGCGCUUGGGCACCGGGAAAAGGAUGUUUUGUAACUUUUGGCUAGAACUUCCAGAGGCCGAACAGGAAAUGUCCUCUGGGACAUGGAACUCAAGGAGUAAUCUCGGGUCUUCCUGGAAGCCACUUGCAACAACGAGAGAAAUGAACCAGAGAACUUCUCAUGCUACUCCAGUGGAUUUUUGGCCACUUCUGAUGAUUCACGCGGAUUUGGCAGAGCCAGGUUGCUUCAGCUGGAUCUUGACAUUACAACUGAUUCGUGUUUGUUUGCUGUUGAACUGGACUGCUGGUCUCCUAACAACGAAGAGUGGGAUUUUCCCCCAAGGAACUACUGCUAAGCAGGCCCACAACCCUGCUUUCCUAUUAAACUUCUUUCCCCCA